rnacentral:rRNA from 1 species
ACGCUCGACACCUACGGGAGCAGCAGUGGGGAAUAUUGGGCAAUGGAGGAAACUCUGACCCAGCAACGCCGCGUGAAUGAUGAAGGUCUUCGGAUUGUAAAGUUCUUUUCUAAGGGAAGAAGAAAGUGACGGUACCUUAGGAAUAAGCCUCGGCUAACUACGUACCAGCAGCCGCGGUAAUCUGAGCGGGCUGGCAAGGC